rnacentral:rRNA from 1 species
UCAGGACGAACGCUGGCGGCGUGCUUAACACAUGCAAGUCGAACGAUGAAGCCCUUCGGGGUGGAUUAGUGGCGAACGGGUGAGUAACACGUGGGCAAUCUGCCCUGCACUCUGGGACAAGCCCUGGAAACGGGGUCUAAUACCGGAUAUGACACGGGACCGCAUGGUCUUCGUGUGGAAAGCUCCGGCGGUGCAGGAUGAGCCCGCGGCCUAUCAGCUUGUUGGUGAGGUAACGGCUCACCAAGGCGACGACGGGUAGCCGGCCUGAGAGGGCGACCGGCCACACUGGGACUGAGACACGGCCCAGACUCCUACGGGAGGCAGCAGUGGGGAAUAUUGCACAAUGGGCGAAAGCCUGAUGCAGCGACGCCGCGUGAGGGAUGACGGCCUUCGGGUUGUAAACCUCUUUCAGCAGGGAAGAAGCGAAAGUGACGGUACCUGCAGAAGAAGCGCCGGCUAACUACGUGCCAGCAGCCGCGGUAAUACGUAGGGCGCAAGCGUUGUCCGGAAUUAUUGGGCGUAAAGAGCUCGUAGGCGGCCUGUCGCGUCGGAUGUGAAAGCCCGGGGCUCAACCCCGGGUCUGCAUUCGAUACGGGCAGGCUAGAGUUCGGUAGGGGAGAUCGGAAUUCCUGGUGUAGCGGUGAAAUGCGCAGAUAUCAGGAGGAACACCGGUGGCGAAGGCGGAUCUCUGGGCCGAUACUGAC